AGUUGUAAUUUGCAGAGGGUGCUUCGGGCGAGGUCGCGGUCUAAGUCCAUUGGAACAUGGCGUCGUGGAGGGUGAGAAUCCCGUAUGCGACCGUGGACCGAGCCCAUGUGAAGCCCCUUCGACGAGUCGAGUUGUUUGGGAAUGCAGCUCAAAAUGGGUGGUAUAUUUCAUCUAAAGCUAAAUAUUGGCUGGAGACCGAUAGCGCACAAGUAGAGUGAUCGAAAGAUGAAAAGCACUUUGGAAAGAGAGUGAAACAGUACGUGAAAUUGUUGAAAGGGAAGCGCGUGCAACCAGACCUGCCCGGGGGCGAUCAGCCGCUGUUCUCAGCGGUGCACUCGCCCCCGCGAUCAGGCCAGCAUCGGUUCCGGCGGUCGGACAAAGGCCCCGGGAAUGUAGCUCCCCCCGGGGAGUCUUAUAGCCCGUGGCGCAAUGCGGCCAGCCGGGACCGAGGACCGCGCUUCGGCUAGGAUGCUGGCGUAAUGGUUGUAAGCGACCCGUCUUGAAACACGGACCAAGGAGUCUAACAUCCAUGCGAGUGUUUGGGUGUCAAACCCAUGCGCGGAAUGAAAGUGAACGGAGGUGAGAACCCCCCCGGGGGGCGCAUCAUCGACCGAUCCAGAUGUCUUCGGAUGGAUUUGAGUAUGAGCAUGGCUGUUGGGACCCGAA
rnacentral:rRNA from 1 species